UACCAGCACCCCGAGUGGUCGGGACGAUUAUUGGGCCUAAAGCAUCCGUAGCCGGUUCUACAAGUCUUCCGUUAAAUCCACCUGCUCAACAGAUGGGCCGCGGAGGAUACUAUAGAGCUAGGAGGCGGGAGAGGCAAGCGGUACUUAGUGGGUAGGGGUAAAAUCCGUUGAUCCAUUGAAGACCACCAGUGGCGAAGGCGGCUUGCCAGAACGCACUCGACGGUGAGGGAUGAAAGCUGGGGGAGCAAACCGG
rnacentral:rRNA from 1 species